GAAUGAAGCAACGCGAUUGGAGCCCGCCCGCCGGAGAGCGGGAGAGGAUUCCCCACCCCGCCGAGCCCCACCUCUCUGAAAACGUCUCUUGAACCCGUUUCGCGGUUCUGGGUAAAUGGUUUUGCAAAUGAGCUACUCCGCUACUGGUCCGCUAGACAGAGACUCCGCCCCCAACUUCAGAGAGGCUGCGCUCUUCCAAGGCUGUGGGAUCCUACGCCGAGCCACCGCAAGCUCCGCCCCCGCUUCCGCAGCCCGCGCUCCGGCCGCCACGCCCCCAGCAGUCGCACUUUUACCGUCUCGCGAGGGUGUGUGCGGUGGCCUCUACGGGGCCCCUCACCCCACACCAGGCGGCGUCACUGAGGCCCGGGGAGCCCAAGUGAUUUUUCCCAAAGCCACUCAUCCCUCUAUAUACCUGACAUCGUGCUGGGGACUGUCAUAAUAAUACUAAUGAUAACUCCACAGCCACUGGGCAACUGGACCACUGGACCAGGUUCUCUCCCAACGUUUUAUUAAGAAUAUUUUCAACAUACAGAAAAAUGGAAAGAAGUCUACAGUGUUCACCCACCACCUAGGAUUCAACGGUUGUUUCCCUUCCGCCAUAUUUGCUUUAUCCCUCUUUACGGGUGUGUGAGGCUUUUGUUCUUUCUGGAUCUUUUUUUUUUAAAUAAAUUUAUUUGAUUUAUUUAUUUUUUA